rnacentral:misc_RNA from 1 species
AAGUCCUGCCCUUGUUUUUCCUCUGUCUGGUUGUCACCUGGAUGGGAUCUAGGAAUUCGCUUUCGACCAAGUCCAGAUCUAUUUUACAGUGCCGAUUUAUAAGCUUGUGCAAAAUAUUAAUUUUUAGAAUGUUAAAACAAGAGCUUGUUUAAGGCCCCUUUAUUCUAGUCAGCACUCGCCUAGUUAAAUCAACCAGAAGUGUAUGGAACAAUCCUAAGCUGAAUACUUUAUUAGAAUGAGAAAAAAUUGCUUGGUCUGGGAACACAAAAGUCGUGUUCGUAAUAAGAGUUGGCCUAUGCUUCUGGGUAUAGGGGGAAGACCAUAGAGGUCGUACAACGUUGGGUGAGGUAGUAUAGUGCCUGUUGAUAUUAUCUAAAAAAGGU